CACGGGGGGAGCAAGCGUUGUUCGGAAUUACUGGGCGUAAAGGGCGUCUAGGCGGAUAGGUAAGUGGGAUGUGAAAUCCCUCGGCUCACCCGAGGACCUGCACCCCAAACUGCCUGUCUUGAGUAUGGGAGAGGAUGAGGGAAUUCCAGGUGUAGCGGUGAAAUGCGUAGAUAUCUGGAGGAACACCGGUGGCGAAGGCGGCAUCCUGGGCCGGUAUUGACGCUGAGGAGCGAAAGCCAGGGGAGCAAACGGG
rnacentral:rRNA from 1 species